rnacentral:lncRNA from 1 species
UUCUGGUAGGGACAGAGGGUGGCAGAAUUCAGUGUGCUGCAGAGAUGAGUAGUAACGUGAGAGGGAGAGAGCGAUAGAAUCUUACAAGAGGUUAAUCAGCUGCCUGAAAUGUGCAGUGAGUUCUCAGUCAGGUGUAAUGCCUGUGCAGGAGGUCAAGCAGGGAGCCUAGAACGAGUUCAGCAGAAGCAACAACAAAUGUGGCGUGGCAUCUACUGCCCUAAGACAAGCGGGGCUAUGCCUUUGCAACUGGGUCAAGGAUAAGGCUGCAGUAAGGGCUUUUGAUGGUUCCCCAUGAAGUGCAAUUAAAACUCCACGGACUUGUCUAGAUUGCUAUGCAAAAAUAGACAAAAUGGCUUCCGGUAGUUUCAGGAUUCCUAGGGCCUGGGGCUGUUGAAGAGCCUUAUUAUAGUUACAGAAGAUCUGUUCACAUCUGAACUGUGGUUCUGCAAUCAUCUUGCUGGGUGGAGCCCACUUUUGUGCAGCCACGCCCAAUGCCUUAGUGGGGUCCACCUGAAUAACCCAAACCAUCCCACCAGGCGCCUUUCGGCCCUGGAAAGAUGGUGGCCUGGGUGAUUCACCACUCCUUCCUCACGUCCUUGAUUUUGUCUGAACUGAGUUCGAUAUGCUCCUCCCACCCUUUUCCUCUUGGAAGCCAAACCCCUUUGUAAUCUAUAUAAGGUCCACACCCCAGGAGCUGAGUGACUGCAGAAACUGGCCUUCCAUCUCUCUCAGACACCAAGCUGCAGAUCCAGUUAGGCUUUUCCGAGAAAGUGAGGCCACCAUGGCUCUGGAUAAGUCUGUCAU